rnacentral:lncRNA from 1 species
UAGGAACACUCCAUUUUUCUUCUCUGUGUUUGUUUCGAGCGUGUAUAGAAUUAGAUUCCUUUAGGAUUUUUAUGUGCCAGAAAGACUAAUGUGCAGAUCCUGAUCUAAAGCGAAUCCGAUUAUGAAUACUCAACUUGACAUGAGCCAAGGUGAGGGAGAGUUUAUUUGCUUUCAUUAACCUUUUAUUGCAGGUGUUUCAUUAUGUCUCAAGAGAAUAGUACCCUUGUUCUCCAAAGAGCUCUCAAUUUAUAGAUCAGGAGGGAAGACCACAAACAAUAGGAUAACACAUUCCACACUCAUUUCCUUAUCAACGAUAAAGUGUGUAGUAUG